CCUACGGGAGGCAGCAGUCGAGAAUCAUUCACAAUGGGGGAAACCCUGAUGGUGCGACGCCGCGUGGGGGAAUGAAGGUCUUCGGAUUGUAAACCCCUGUCAUGUGGGAGCAAAUUAAAAAGAUAGUACCACAAGAGGAAGAGACGGCUAACUCUGUGCCAGCAGCCGCGGUAAUACAGAGGUCUCAAGCGGUGUUCGGAAUCACGGGGCGUAAAGCGUGCGUGGGCUGUUGCGUAAGUCGUGUGUGAAAGGCGCGGGCUCAACCCGCGGACGGCACAUGAUACUGCGAGACUAGAGUGAUGGAGGGGGAACCGGAAUUCUCGGUGUAGCAGUGAAAUGCGUAGAUAUCGAGAGGAACACUCGUGGCGAAGGCGGGUUCCUGGACAUUAACUGACGCUGAGGCACGAAGGCCAGGGGAGCGAAAGGGAUUAGAUACCCUAGUAGUC
rnacentral:rRNA from 1 species